rnacentral:rRNA from 1 species
AAACUUUCAGCGACGGAUGUCUUGGCUCCCACAACGAUGAAGAACGCAGCGAAAUGCGAUACGUCUUGCGACUUGCAGAAUCCAGUGAAAUCAUCA